rnacentral:rRNA from 1 species
GAUGAACGCUGGCGGCGUGCCUAACACAUGCAAGUCGAACGAAGCGCCUUUUAAGAUUCUUCGGAUGAUUGAUCGGUGACUGAGUGGCGGACGGGUGAGUAACGCGUGGGCAACCUGCCCUGUACAGGGGGAUAACAGUUGGAAACGGCUGCUAAUACCGCAUAAGCGCACGAGAGGACAUCCACUUGUGUGAAAAACUCCGGUGGUACAGGAUGGGCCCGCGGCUGAUUAGCUGGUUGGCAGGGUAACGGCCUACCAAGGCGACGAUCAGUAGCCGGUCUGAGAGGAAGAACGGCCACAUUGGAACUGAGACACGGUCCAAACUCCUACGGGAGGCAGCAGUGGGGAAUAUUGCACAAUGGGGGAAACCCUGAUGCAGCAACGCCGCGUGAGUGAAGAAGUAUUUCGGUAUGUAAAGCUCUAUCAGCAGGGAAGAUAGUGACGGUACCUGACUAAGAAGCUCCGGCUAAAUACGUGCCAGCCGCCGCCGUAA